rnacentral:rRNA from 1 species
AGGCGGUGCCUGUCUGGCGGCCGUACGGCCUCCGCCGCGUGCGCGACCUUGCUCCUGCGCCUCCUACCCGGGCUGGACCUCCCCCCGUGCGUCGUCCCCACCCGCAUCACCAAGCUUCCCAACGGCGUCCGCGACUCCGCGUCGCCUCCGAGGAUGUCCAGGUACUACCCACCUCCCCCUCCCCUCUUCCUUCCGAUGAGUCCAUGGCUGACAGCGGCACCGUCUCCGAGCUCACGAACACCUGGAUUUGACAGGGAGCAGCACAGGGAUGGCGAAUUUGGCCGCUCUGCUCUGAUGAUGCCGUUAGAGCACAACUUGCUCGUUCUCAGCAUGAGGAAGAAGAUGAUUUAA